rnacentral:rRNA from 1 species
CCUACGGGUGGCAGCAGUGGGGAAUUUUGGACAAUGGGCGCAAGCCUGAUCCAGCUAUUCCGCGUGUGGGAAGACGGCCUUCGGGUUGUAAACCACUUUUGUAGAGAACGAAAAGUCUAUUGAUAAUACCGAUAGAUGAUGACGGUACUCUAAGAAUAAGCACCGGCUAACCACGUGCCAGCAGCCGCGGUAAUACGUAGGGUGCGGGCGUUAAUCGGAAUUACUGGGCGUAAAGGGUGUGCAGGCGGUUUUGCAAGAUGGAUGUGAAAGCCCCGGGCUUAACCUGGGAAAGCAAUACAUGACUGCAAGACUAGAGUGCGGCAGAGGGGGGUGGAAUUCCAAAUGUAGCAGUGAAAUGCGUAGAUAUUUGGAAGAACACCGAUGGCGAAGGCAGCCCCCUGGGACGCAACUGACGCUCAUACACGAAAGCGUGGGGAGCAAACAGGAUUAGAUACCCCAGUAGUC